GACGAACGCUGGCGGCGUGCUUAACACAUGCGAGUCGAACGGAAAGGCCCUGCUUUUGUGGGGUGCUCGAGUGGCGAACGGGUGAGUAACACGUGAGUAACCUGCCCUUGACUUUGGGAUAACUUCAGGAAACUGGGGCUGAUACCGGAUAGGAGCUCCUGCUGCAUGGUGGGGGUUGGAAAGUUUCGGCGGUUGGGGAUGGACUCGCGGCUUAUCAGCUUGUUGGUGGGGUAGUGGCUUACCAAGGCUUUGACGGGUAGCCGGCCUGAGAGGGUGACCGGCCACAUUGGGACUGAGAUACGGCCCAGACUCCUACGGGAGGCAGCAGUGGGGAAUAUUGCACAAUGGGCGGAAGCCUGAUGCAGCAACGCCGCGUGCGGGAUGACGGCCUUCGGGUUGUAAACCGCUUUCGCCUGUGACGAAGCGUGAGUGACGGUAAUGGGUAAAGAAGCACCGGCUAACUACGUG
rnacentral:rRNA from 1 species